rnacentral:rRNA from 1 species
AACGAACGCUGGCGGCGUACUUAACACAUGCAAGUCGGACGAGAAGGAAGCCUCGGCUUCUGAGUAAAGUGGCGUACGGGUGCGUAACACGUAAGUAAUCUACCCUGGACUCUGGGAUAACUCCCGAAAGGGGGGCUAAGACUGGAUAGAGACCUGAGGUGCAAGCCUUGGGAGAAACAAGCCUCUGCAUCAUGCUUGUGGUUCAGGAUGAGCUUGUGGCCCANAGCUAGUUGGCGGGGUAAUGGCUCACCAAGGCAACGAUGGGUAGCUGGUCUGAGAGGACGAUCAGCCACACUGGCAC